GACCAACCAGAAUAUUACUAUUUCCCAGCUUCAACGAUUGGUUUAGGAAUGAACACAUGAUCCAAGCCAGGGAUCUGUGGAGCCCCAACUCUGAUCCUAGGCCCAACGUGGUUGGGCCCUAAAAAAGAAGCAACAUCUGCAGGACCUCUGCUAGGUGCCGGGCACUUUAAGCUCAUGAUCUCCUUGGACUCUGUGCUAUGAGUAAUAUCACCACCAUUUUACAGAUGAGGAAACUGGAGUGAGGCUCAGAGAAAACACAGAAGCGACUUAGGGGCCCCCACCAGCUGGGCCUCUUGCCUUGCAUGAUUCCAGGAGGGACCAUUCACUGUGCAUUCUGAGUUCGACCUUUACUGAGAACAUGAAUGUGACUGGUGGGGAUUUCCCAGAGUUGUGUAAUGUGGAGACCCUGGAGCUCCAGGAGGACAGGGAUCUACCUUCCUU